GUCCACGCCUAACGAUGUCAACUGGUUGUUGGACGGCUUGCUGUUCAGUAACGAAGCUAACGCGUGAAGUUGACCGCCUGGGAGUACGGCCGCAAGGUUGAACUCAAGGAAUUGACGGGACCCGCACAAGCGGUGGAUGAUGUGGUUUAAUUCGAUGCAACGCGAAACCUUACCUACCCUUGACAUGUCUGGAAUCCUGAAGAGAUUUGGGAGUGCUCGAAAGAGAACCAGAACACAGGUGCUGCAUGGCCGUCGU
rnacentral:rRNA from 1 species